rnacentral:sRNA from 1 species
GCUGGGCUUGAUGGCACAUGCCUGUAAUCCCAGCAGCUUGGGAGGCUGAGGCUGGAGGAUUGUGAGUUCAAGCUAUCCUCAGCAACUUAGCUAGAUCCUGUAUCAA